rnacentral:rRNA from 1 species
UACAGAGGGUGCGAGCGUUGUUCGGAAUUAUUGGGCGUAAAGGGCGCGUAGGCGGUGCGGUAAGUCACCUGUGAAAUCUCCUGGCUCAACUGGGAGCUUGCAGGCGAAACUGCCGUGCUGGAGUGUGGGAGAGGUGCGUGGAAUUCCUGGUGUAGCGGUGAAAUGCGUAGAUAUCAGGAGGAACACCGGUGGCGAAGGCGGGUCUCUGGGCCGUUACUGACGCUGAGGAGCGAAAGCAUGGGGAGCGAACAGG